rnacentral:ncRNA from 1 species
GUGUUGUAUGAAAGGAGAGAAAGUUAGCACUCCCCUUGACAAGGAAGAGGCCCUUGGGCCUGACAACACACAUGCAGUUAAGGCAUUGCCACCUACUUCUUGGCAUCUAACCAUCGUUUUUU